AGGAAAAAAAAGAAUCGUAGGCGAAGAAGAAGCAGAGGAAGAAGAGGGAAAAAAAAAUCGUAGCUUGAAGACGAACUAGCAGGGAGGGAAAAAAAAAUUACAAACAUACCUUUUUCUUUGUAAUGGCAGAGGAAGUUGAAGAGAGAGUCGCAGAGUUGUGUUCAAUCGGUUGGUUGAAUCCAAAGUUCUCCGACGAUUGUUAGAUUGUAAUGGCAGAGUCGCAGAGAGUUCACCGGCCGGUAGAGAGAACCAAAGAAACAUGGAGGGUUUUAAAAAAAACCUUGCAUGUUAUAUUUCCCCCCACCACCAAACCUUUUUUUUUUGUUGUUCACUUGAGAGUAAAAUGAUUCCAUGCAUCUCACACCAUUUAAAAACCUGUACUUCAUCAAAUGAAAAAUUAAGAAUUAGAAUAUAAAAAACAAAUAAUUAAGUGAAAGUUUAAAAAAAAAAAAAAACCAAGGCGGUCGCCUUUCAUAACAAGUCGUCCAAGGCGACGCCUUUUGGACGCCUUUAUACCAAAGGCGACCGCCUUUUAUACUUCAGCAAUGGCGUCCCUCGCCCUGAUCCUAAAAAACCGCUUGGACGCCAAGGCGUCGCCUUGACAACUAUGAAUUGGUGUUUGAUCCAAUUGACUCUUUGCGGUGUGAAGUUCAAGAGGUCUCUUCAACUAUUCUUUCUUUCUUUUCAAAGUUAAUUGCAAGGUUCUUCAAACUAGGUAAGUAAUCUGAAUUUUUCUGCAAAAUUUCUGGGUUAAGCUCUCUGUUUCCUAUUCUGUCGACCUAGUCUAUUUUGGAGUUUUGGCCACCCGAUUGCUUUGAGAUUUUGGUCAAUUGUUAGGACCAUUAAGAAGGGGACUCGAUCCAAUUUUGAGACAGAUCAGACCUCUGGUUCAGUUGUUGUGUAGUGAUCUGCAGUCCUGACCGAUAAUGGAUUCUGCCCAGAAAUUCUUGUCUGAUUUCUGAUUCCUGUUGAGGUUGGUUGUUGCUUAUAUUUUCUCAAGGGAUUAGACCUUCUAAUCAGUAUUUAGACUUGCUACUUGUUCCUUAAACAUCUACUGCUGAAGUUUCUGAAGUAUUAGAAUCGAUGGUCAGGUUUCAGAUUCUGCUGUGCAGAAUUGAGUCUUGAAUUGAUUUGUCUAUUUUGGUUGUUCUUAGUUUAAAAGUUCCUGCAGUUUGGGGCUGGUUUGGUUGUCAAAUCCAUUCCUACAUUACCCCCUAAGAAGUCUCUCAUUGGAAUUGAGGUAAGUUGAUUUGUUGUUCUCUAUGGUCAGCAGUGUUUAUAUUUGCUCAAUUUGUAUAAAGCAUAAAAGAAGCCACACAAAGGCCAGAUUCCCCUACUAUUGCUUUUACUAUGUUCGAGUGCUUCUUCGACAACAUUGAAUCCUCAUCUAAGGGUGACUAAAUCUCUUAGUUUUGAUAGCUUCGCACUAGAUGCGGUUCUGUUUGUUGCGUUGUAAAUUUUUUCAUACAAAUGAUAUUUUACAUGAAUUUUUUUUUUUAAUUUCUUACAUUUUUCGUCAAUACAAAUAGUGGAAAACUAUUUUACAGAUAUUUUUUCCUUUUCGGUUUUCACCUCAGAAACAAACAUGGGAUUCACAAAAGGGAACGUGGCUUGGGACAUUUGUGACGAAAAUGGUGCUUUUAUUUUGACAGGUACACACUAUAGAUGCUUUAGUGCUCCAAUAACAACAACAAUAGCAUAAGCAAUUAAGCAAGGAUUGAAGUUGGCAAGGAAGAAAGAAAUCCCAUGGUCGAGUGCGCCUAGUUGGAGUUGGGAUAAGCCCAAAAGACCUUGAUUCGUCAAAAUAUAAUACCGCAUUCAACUGGAAGAACAAGGAGCUGCAAAAUAAAGUGGAGAUGCUAGAGGAGAAGAUGGAAUUAAAGAAGAAGAAGAAUGAAGAUGUGAUUAGCAGUAUGCAAUCACAAACUGAAAAACUUACCCAACUCUUCAUGAAUAGAACCUUAUAGGAUUCAGUUAAUCUAGAUAAUGUUUAGCACUUCUAAAUUUUGAUGUUAGAGACUAUAGUUUUAUAGAUAACGAUAUCCAAUCAUCUUCUGUUUUGAAAAACCAGGAUGUAACUAAUCGAGAUUUCAGCUUCUAUAUGAAUCUUAUACAUUUUCUACUAUUGGGUUGACAUAAUUGUGGUGAGUUGCUCUUCUUCUAAAGAUUUAUGACGUAGACAAUGAGGACAUCAUUUCACAUGAUAGGAAAAAUGUAUAUUGCUACUUUGAGUACAAUGGUUUCAUUAUUUUUGUAAUGUUUUCAAUUCCUUUUGCUUAGGCUUAGAGAACUGAGUCUGUAGAACAAUAUUUUGAAAUGAUCCACAAUCAUUUUCUCUUUUGUCAA